rnacentral:rRNA from 1 species
CUACGGGGUGCUGCAGUGAGGAAUAUUGCACAAUGGGGGGAAAGUGGAGGCAGCAACGCCGCGUGGAGGAGGACCCCUUUCUUUUUUCCACCUCCUUUGAGAGGGAAAGAAAAUGACGGUAGCAUAUGAAUAAGCACCGGCUAACUCCGUGCCAGCAGCCGCGGUAAUACGGAGGGUGCAAGCGUUACUCGGAAUCACUGGGCGUAAAGGACGCGUAGGCGGGUUGGAAAGUCAGGUGUGAAAUCCUACAGCUUAACUGUAGAACUGCACUUGAAACUUCUAAUCUAGAGUAUGGGAGGGGGAGAUGGAAUUAGUGGUGUAGGGGUAAAAUCCGUAGAUAUCACUAGGAAUACCUAAAGCGAAGGCGAUCUCCUGGAACAUUACUGACGCUAAGGCGUGAAAGCGUGGGGAGCAAACAGGAUUAGAUACCCGGGUAGUC